CUACAUAUUUUAAAUUUGAUAAAAUUGAAACGAUAUAAAGAAGAUUAGUAUGACUAUGCGCAAGGAUGAUGCACAAAAAUCGAAGAAUGAUUCAUUUAUUU